CCUACGGGCGGCUGCAGUGGGGAAUAUUGCACAAUGGGCGCAAGCCUGAUGCAGCCAUGCCGCGUGUGUGAAGAAGGCCUUCGGGUUGUAAAGCACUUUCAGCGGGGAGGAAGGCGGUGAGGUUAAUAACCUCAUCGAUUGACGUUACCCGCAGAAGAAGCACCGGCUAACUCCGUGCCAGCAGCCGCGGUAAUACGGAGGGUGCAAGCGUUAAUCGGGAUUACUGGGCGUAAAGCGCACGCAGGCGGUCUGUCAAGUCGGAUGUGAAAUCCCCGGGCUCAACCUGGGAACUGCAUUCGAAACUGGCAGGCUAGAGUCUUGUAGAGGGGGGUAGAAUUCCAGGUGUAGCGGUGAAAUGCGUAGAGAUCUGGAGGAAUACCGGUGGCGAAGGCGGCCCCCUGGACAAAGACUGACGCUCAGGUGCGAAAGCGUGGGGAGCAAACAGGAUUAGAUACCCGGGUAGUC
rnacentral:rRNA from 1 species